rnacentral:rRNA from 1 species
UACGUAGGGGGCGAGCGUUGUCCGGAUUCAUUGGGCGUAAAGCGCGCGUAGGCGGCCCCCGCAAGUCGGCCGUGAAAUCUCCGGGCUCAACUCGGAGGGGUCGGGCGAGACUGCGAGGCUCGAGGUGGGCAGAGGGCAGUGGAAUUCCGGGUGUAGUGGUGGAAUGCGUAGAUAUGCGGAGGAACACCGAUGGCGAAGGCAAUCCCCCUGGACCUGUACUGACGCUCAUGCACGAAAGCGUGGGGAGCAAACAGG